rnacentral:rRNA from 1 species
AUACGGAGGGUCCAAGCGUUAUCCGGAAUCAUUGGGUUUAAAGGGUCCGUAGGCGGACAAUUAAGUCAGAGGUGAAAGCCCACAGCUCAACUGUGGAACUGCCUUUGAUACUGGUUGUCUUGAAUUAUAGUGAAGUAGAUAGAAUAUGUAGUGUAGCGGUGAAAUGCAUAGAUAUUACAUAGAAUACCGAUUGCGAAGGCAGUCUACUAACUAUAUAUUGACGCUGAUGGACGAAAGCGUGGGGAGCGAACAGGAGUAGAUACCCUAGUAGUCC